GACUGACAGGUGCCGGCUCUAGCGGCGCGCGGCCUGCAGCGCGGGACCCGCCGGCGCGAGGCGGGAGGGCGCCGCCGCCAUUUUGCUGCGCUAAUCCCGGUAAUCGGAUUUGCCCGCGGCUUGUGAAAUACGGGAUGGCUUCGGCGCUGUGGAUGCCCUGCGCUGCUGGCUGCCGCAUUGCAUCUCGUGUUUGUUCUGCUGCAAAUGCUCCGCGUUUUGUUAACGCUUCUAUCUGUGACAUUUAACGUGUCAAGCUUUUGGUUUACGUGCAACUACUGUGAAUUGAGAACAAUUCCCUAAUGUCCGGCCCUUUGCUCUGUGGCCAUCAGUGCGGUUUUGUCCACACCACUUCCUGUUCCUUUAUACCUCAUGAAGAAUUUUGUUUGCUUUACUCCCCUUCAAAGCCUUUCUUGUGUGAAAGGUGCGUGGAGAAAAGCAGCUCAGCACUGAAGUUCUGCAAUUCCCCACCAAAAAGGACAGAGUAGAGAUACUUCCUUGAAAUGAUCAUACCUGCAAUAAGUUCUGUUUGGAUCCUUAAAUGAGUUUGCAAUUGCCUUCACUUCCUUACCUGACAACAGAAAUAAACGGUUUCAUGAAGACACUUCUUUCAAGCAGCUGUCUGACCCUCUGUGCGUAUUGCUUACAUUAUUUAUCACCUCAGGAAACAAGUGCUACAGUACUGUCAGUGCUUCAGAAGCACUAACAAAUGCUUGCCUAAAUAAAGAGAGAAUUAGUUGGACUUGAUGUAGCCAGAUGCUCCCAUAGAUUCGGCCUUCCCACACGUGUUCUGUCUCUGCCCCUUCCCCACGUCCUUGGAAUCACAAAGCUGAGGAAAAAGCUGGGCCUUGAGUCAGGUGCAGAAUGUCUGGAACGUAACAGAGCAGACUGUCAUGCUAACAUCCAGGUUACUUCUAAUGGGAUCUCGGACUUUGUGUAUUGCUUAUGCAAUGCUCCUCGGUAUCAUUUUAGGCAUGUACAUAAAUGUUAGUAUGUACUAAUGAGGAUGUAUGAAAGAAGUGCCAAAGAAGUAUUUGUGACUAACAUUUUGUCAGUAAGAGUACAAUAAUGUGGAUUAAAUUAAACCUGUUAUAAACCCAUAAAAGAAAUAAAGAACCAUGCAUUACUGAGCAGUGAUAAACACAAGUAUCUCUUUAGAUUAUGUGAAACAAAUUUAAGGAAGAUUAGGUUUUCAAUUCCCACUACAUCUUAAUUCAUUUUGCUUUUUUUCUAUUGUUCUGAAAAUCGAAGACAUAAGUAACUCAUAUAGCAGAUACCCCUAGUUUAAAGACAUUAACUUAUUUGUACUUGGCUGUUCAAUGCCCUGGCAGUUUAAUAUCUAUAGACAAUGUAAUAGAGUUGAAGAAAAUUGGGGUUUUAAUUAUUAUUUUUGUGUGCUUUCUUAGGGCAACUCUAGCUAAUUCACUGUAAAAAGAAUCACUUUUUCUCUGACCAGUACGGUAAUUCAAGGUGCUAAUUUCCUUAUGUAGGUUUGAGCUACUUGAACUUACAAUCCCAUCAGCUCCUUACAGAUGUACUCUUUCAGAGUAAGAAAUUCUUUACAAGGCCAACUCGGCAACACCCCAGAUUUUACUUUCUCAUUAUAAUGCUUCAUUAUAAAACCACUUGUACACAAAGAAAAUUGAUUAAUUCUUACAUGAUAUUACUGCAAGGUAUAAAGAAAACUGUAAGCAAACUUCUUUAAAAUGAAUUAAACAGUCCCAAGGUUUCUGAAGUGGGAAUCUAUGUAUGCUUGGCUCAAGUCUGACAAUCUCACUUCUGCAAAUCAUGGCACAUGGUAUUUUUUCCUUAGGAGUAAGGAAAAGCUUAGGCUGCAUAGUAAAAAAAGGAAGUGUUCCAGUAUUCUUCUCUGGUCAGUAUUCCUCAGCUUCCCUUAUUAAUGGCAGCAACAGCAACAUAUGUAGCAUUACCAGAUCUAGUAAAUUGCUCUUAAGUGACAAGUCCUCUCAAUGCCUUGAGUAGACCAGACUAUCCAGGAGAAAGAUCUUUGGAUGGACUGCCUUCUCCUUUGCUCUCACAGCUGAGGUCAAAGCAACCAGCCAUGCUGCUGAGAUCAAAAACAAAGCUCUUCACCUCUUGGGCAGACCAGCCCAAAGUGGUUCCACUCCCCUUUCUGUCAAAUAAGAAAGGAAAGGCAUUGCUUUGCAUAACAUUCUUUCUCUCCUAGACCACUGAGUGAAGGGAGAAGCUGGGGAAAGGAGCACAGUUACUGAGACUUGUGGCAGCUGCCAGCCUCUCCAAAUCUGGCUGGAACAGGAAAGCCUGGCAAAAAUCAUUUGAUUCUCAAGCUAUGUGAGCUGUGCAUGUUUACCGAAGAAUCAGAUAUAUCUCUAAGAGUGUUCAGAGCUUGAAGCUGACCACUGCAAAGGCCACUUGUCACAUUUACUGAAAAUCAGCCUAUUGAUAUCACAGCUGAAAAUAUAAACUCGACAACCAAAGCCCAUUGCACAACGUGGACUGCGUAAGAGUUAAAAAUAGAUUCGACGUGCCUCCUACCUGCAUAAUAAAUAUUCCAUCAAAAUCCUGAGCAGUAUUGACAAACCACACAAGCACAGGGUCUGCCUGCAAGAUCAGCUGUCUGUGUCUACGCUACACCCUGUUAACCACAAGCAGUGUGAGAGCUAAAAAUAUCCGCAAUGCAGAAACGGUGUGCUGCUUAUCUAUGACAACUAUCAUUCCUGGCCACGAGACUUCUAUAAUAAGAACAGCAUUCUUGAAAUAGGGGCACAAGCCUUGUACUGGUAUAAUCCUAUGAAUAUGUAAUAGGUGACUGAUGUAUUAUACAGGUGUAUAUUCAAAAUUUUCAAAUACUAAUAAGAGAAGACUUGGGGAUCUUGAUUUGUGAAGAUAUGCCACCUUGUGCCCUGCAUGGAAAUAAAGCAAUGUCUCCUCUCUAAACACUUGUCUUUUCAAUGUGUUUUAGAGAUUUUAAAAUCAGCAACAGGCCUUCCCAUUAAUAACUUGGGAUGUGAAACUAAAACCCAAGUGUUAACAAUGAAUUCCAGGCUGAUCUUUUUCUGCCAUGGUGUAGCUUGAGAUUUGUCUACAACCACUCUCUUACACUUCCAUCAUUGCUACGAUUAAGAAGCUAUUUAUACUCCCAACAAGAGAGGUACUUCAUUUUAAGAAAGGUGUUCUACAAAUUGCAGAUUAUUUAAGUCUAAACUAGUUCAACCUGAACUGAAAUCACUGUAGAUAAGGCUCUGUUUUAAAAAGCUUUCCGUCCUAGAUCACUUAGAAAAUUAUAUCAUUUAUCUUAAUAUAAACUGCCAACUUCUCCAUGCUUCAGAAUUGAAAAUGUGCUUUUGAAGGUAACAGUCAGUCAGGAAAAGGAAUGGACACUCUCUAAGAGAGCUUUAUCCCAAGGAAUUUCAAUCAAAUUUUAGGAAUAAAGCUAGCAAGCAACAGUAGUGCAUUUUUUAGAGUACAGUUGUAUAAAAGGCUCUAUUAACAAUAAUAAUACUCCUUUACAGCAUGAUUUAUCUAACAAUCUUAGAAAUCAUCACAAUCAUUAAUUGGGCCUAACUACAGCCUGAAAUAAAUUAGCAUAUUGUGCUAAUAUUAUAGAUGGAAAAGAAAAAGAUGUCCUGAAUCACUCAGGAACAGAACCCAGAGCUGCGUGCUCAAGUUUAUAGCCCCAACCAAGAAGAACUGAUAUCAGACAAAUGAAAAUGGGAUGUCAGACAGAAAAAUUACAAAAGAUUUUUAAAAUCAUAUUAUAAUUCUGAUAAUUCUUAUCAGACAAGAAAAUAAAGUUGCUCGAGACUAACAACAGCUAAAUUUUUUUACUCUAUAUUUUUUAAUUCUCACUGGACCUUUGCAGUAUCAUUCAUAACUACCAGGAAUUUCUUACUGGCUACACUGAUUUACCUAUGUGCAAAUCUAAAAGUGGAGAAUAUUUUACAUAAUGGCCAUUAGAACUGGAUCAGUCAUCUUCAUUAUUAACCCUGUUUAUGACUUAAAAGACUGGAAUAACUGCAUCUACUUUUCUUUAAAACAUUGAGAGGGAUAUGGAAAAAAAGACAUAACAGUUAAAA